rnacentral:rRNA from 1 species
UACGAAGGGGGCUAGCGUUGUUCGGAUUUACUGGGGCGUAAAGCGCACGUAGGCGGAUCGUUAAGUCAGGGGUGAAAUCCCGGAGCUCAACUCCGGAACUGCCUUUGAUACUGGCGAUCUUGAGGCUGGAAGAGGUUAGUGGAAUUCCCAGUGUAGAGGUGAAAUUCGUAGAUAUUGGGAAGAACACCAGUGGCGAAGGCGGCUAACUGGUCCAGAUCUGACGCUGAGGUGCGAAAAGCGUGGGGAGCAAACAGGG